CUUUGGUGUAAGAUCUAGAAUGCAAUUUGAGCUGGGUGAGGGCACGUCUGCAGUGCAAAAGGCUUUACACAUUUUUUGCAAAGAAAGCAAUGAUUCCAUCGCCUUCCAUCCUACAAAAAAGAUUUUAUGAAUGGCUGAACAGCUUCUUCACAUCAAGUACUCGAGUCUCAACAGAAUGUUAAGUAUGCAAAAUAAAAAAGUGGUUUGGAUGCAGACUUCACUUACUCUUUUGUAAAGGCCCUCUUCCAGCUUAAGAAAUAAGACACCUGAGGCACAAACUGUCCAUUUCAGACUGACAUUUAUUGCAAGAGGAAAAGAAAGGCUUCCUGCUAUGAAAGGUCUGUGUGAAUGCAUUACUCAGAUGAACAAUUCGGCCCUGACUUCCAGUACUACUUCGCUCCACAACCACGCGUGGCAUCUGCACUAGCU